AUAGGGGAGCCGUAGGGAAACCGAGUCUUAACUGGGCGAAUGAGUUGCAGGGUAUAGACCCGAAACCCGGUGAUCUAUCCAUGGGCAGGUUGAAGGUUGGGUAACACUAACUGGAGGACCGAACCGACUAAUGUUGAAAAAUUAGCGGAUGACUUGUGGAUGGGGGUGAAAGGCCAAUCAAACCGGGAGAUAGCUGGUUCUCCCCGAAAGCUAUUUAGGUAGCGCCUCGUGAACUCAUCUUCGGGGGUAGAGCACUGUUUCGACUAGGGGGUCAUCCCGACUUACCAACUCGAUGCAAACUGCGAAUACCGAAGAAUGUUAUCACGGGAGACACACGGCGGGUGCUAACGUCCGUCGUGAAGAGGGAAACAACCCAGACCGCCAGCUAAGGUCCCAAAGUCAUGGUUAAGUGGGAAACGAAGUGGGAAGGCUCAGACAGCCAGGAUGUUGGCUUAGAAGCAGCCAUCAUUUAAAGAAAGCGUAAUAGCUCACUGGUCGAGUCGGCCCGCGCGGAAGAUGUAACGGGGCUAAACCAUGCACCGAAGCUGCGGCAGCGACACAAAGUGUUGUUGGGUAGGGGAGCGUUCUGUAAGCCUGCGAAGGUGUACUGUGAGGUAUGCUGGAGGUAUCAGAAGUGCGAAUGCUGACAUAAGUAACGAUAAUGCGGGUGAAAAACCCGCACGCCGGAAGACCAAGGGUUCCUGUCCAACGUUAAUCGGGGCAGGGUGAGUCGACCCCUAAGGCGAGGCUGAAAAGCGUAGUCGAUGGGAAACGGGUUAAUAUUCCCGUACUGGUGGUAACUGCGAUGGGGGAACGGAGAAGGCUAGGUUGUCCGGGCGACGGUCGUCCCGGUUCAAGCAGGUAGGCAGAGUGAUUAGGCAAAUCCGGUCACUUAAUGCUGAGAUGUGAUGACGAACCACCAAGGUGGUGAAGCAAUUGAUGCCCCGCUUCCAGGAAAAGCCUCUAAGCUUCAGGUUACCAACAAUCGUACCCCAAACCGACACAGGUGGUCAGGUAGAGAAUACUCAGGCGCUUGAGAGAACUCGGGUGAAGGAACUAGGCAAAAUGGUGCCGUAACUUCGGGAGAAGGCACGCUGGCGGUAGGUAAAGUCCCUUGCGGACGGCGCUGAAGCCAGUCGAAGAUACCAGCUGGCUGCAACUGUUUAUUAAAAACACAGCACUGUGCAAACACGAAAGUGGACGUAUACGGUGUGACGCCUGCCCGGUGCUGGAAGGUUAAUUGAUGGGGUUAGCGUAAGCGAAGCUCCUGAUCGAAGCCCCAGUAAACGGCGGCCGUAACUAUAACGGUCCUAAGGUAGCGAAAUUCCUUGUCGG
rnacentral:rRNA from 1 species